AACUUGUGUCUGAUUUUUUUUUUGUCUAAAGACAACACUUUUUGCAGAAGGCCCCAGAUACAUUGUAAAUGUGGUCCUUGUGUAUUAAAGAAAUUUUGAAAUAUACAUGUAAAUGUGGUUUAUAUGAUUAUAUUUGAAAUUAAUGUUUAAUUGACAAAGAAUGUAUUGUGGUUUCAAGCAUGAAUAAUGCAAUUUAGAGUGUAUUGGAGAAAAUGGUUGAAUGCUUGAACUUGAAGAUUAAUUUUGAUUAAUUUUCAUUAAUUUUGUAUAAAAAAGUACCAGGUGGAGCAAUUUUAUGACAGUUUAGUUUGUUCUAGCUUAUAAGGUUGACCAAGACAGUCUUUGAAAACUGUGUUCUCAUUGAACAAGAUGGAAAUAAUUUUGUCUGUAUGAGACAUUAAAAGCAUGCUAUAGCUACAAAUCUCUAUUGAAUUAAAAUUUGUAAUUUUCAGUAAAAUCAUUCCAUUUUCAAUCUUGAUGGUUAAGAAAUUAUGUCAAGACAAAUUUUGUUCUCAGGAAUAAUUUAUUCAUAUACUUCUGGGAAAAACAUGUACUGUACAUGUGAAUGGAAAUAAUUAUAAUUAGUAUUUAAGGUGUUGCCUAUCUUUUGAGAACAUUAAUUGAUUAAAUUAAGAUGUACAUAAUAAGAGACUUAAUUUGUAAUGCACCUUUAAUAUAAUAUGAUUAUACAUAGGUGCAAUACAGUGAUAAAGUAUUGUUAUUAUUACAAAUUAGUUUGUCUUUUUGUAAGGAUUCCAACUCUAUUUGUGGCCUUAAUACCCAUGAUACAUGUAUGUAUUUGUUAAUGUAUUAAAACAAAAAGAUGAUCGAAAAAUGACACUGUUACUUUUAACCCUAAGAAGACUGGGGGGGGGCUGAUUCAACCCCCCCUCAACAUUUUCCGUGAUCAAUCCGCUGCCCUAAAUCUUUUGACCGGGUUGCUCACCGACUUUUUAUUUUCAUGUCUCGCGCAACUUCUGAGACCAAAAUUGUGACCCUCGGGUA